CCCUUAGACGUUCUGGGCCGCACGCGCGCUACACUGACGAAGGCAACGAGCUUUCCUUUACCGAAAGGUACGGGUAAUCUUUUGAAACUUCGUCGUGCCGGGGAUAGAUCCUUGCAAUUUUUGAUCUUAAACGAGGAAUGCCUAGUAAGCGCAAGUCAUCAACUUGCGUUGAUUACGUCCCUGCCCUUUGUACACACCGCCCGUCGCUACUACCGAUUGAAUGGUUUAGUGAGGCCUUCGGAUCCGCGACUCGUUUUGUGGAGAAGUUGGACAAACUCAGUCAUUUAGAGGAAGUAAAAGUCGUAACA
rnacentral:rRNA from 1 species